GUUAUUGCCGUCUUCUUUUGUUAGGGUUUACUCCCAAUCUAGAUACAAUGAGCUCAGUUUCACCUUCUAGCCUCGUCUUGGUAAAUUUGUCCCUGAAGGUUCUGUGUUUUGCUAUUGGAGUCGCACCAUUCUCUUAGCCUUUUUUUCCAGAUGCGAGGAACACCGGUGGUCAUCAAGGAGGUGAUGGUUUCGCUGCUUAGUCAUCUGGAUCUUUCUACUUUGGGUUUUCUUUCUAGGCUAUGGCCCAUGUACUAGCUUAACUCUUAAUUUUCUAUUUUGUUCUUGUUGAACUUUGUAACGGUUUAGUUUUGGCAUCGUAGUGUUCCUUGGAUAAUUGUAAGGAGUUAAGUUUAAACUCUGGA